rnacentral:lncRNA from 1 species
UAAAUAAUGAUGAUGAUAUAGUAGUAAAUUUAAGGUGAUAAUAAAUGUGAGGAAUAUGGAUGGGAUUAGUGACGGUGGUAGUAAAGACUAAUUGUUGAAUAGGGAGAGAAACAGCGUAAUGUAAGGCACAAGGAUGAGUUGCCACCAUUGGAAUGUAUUAUUGUGACUAAUGUGGAGCCGAUCUGAUUGGAUGUUUCUUAGAGUGAGUAGUAGCAAGAUUUUAGAGGAGUGCAUAAGCAUGGGUUUUUUGCACAUUUUACAAAACUUACCACCAAUUGAUGUUGCACUAGUAGAGGUUAGAGUUAAGGAGAAGUGGAUGGCAAAAAA